CUACGGGUUGCUGCAGUCGAGAAUCCUCCGCAAUGGACGAAAGUCUGACGGAGCGACGCCGCGUGCGGGAUGAAGGCCUUCGGGUUGUAAACCGCUGUCAGUGGGGAGGAAAUGCAUCAGGGUUCUCCCUGGUGUUUGACCGAUCCGCAGAGGAAGCGCAGGCUAAGUUCGUGCCAGCAGCCGCGGUAACACGAACUGCGCGAACGUUAUUCGGAAUCACUGGGCUUAAAGAGUUCGUAGGCGGCCUUUCAAGUCGGGUGUGAAAUCCCUCGGCUCAACCGAGGAAUUGCGCCGGGUAUUGUUGGGCUUGAGGGGGAUAGGGGUGAGCGGAACUGAUGGUGGAGCGGUGAAAUGCGUUGAUAUCAUCAGGAACACCGGUGGCGAAGGCGGCUCACUGGAUCUCUUCUGACGCUGAGGAACGAAAGCUAGGGGAGCGAACGGGAUUAGAUACCCUAGUAGUC
rnacentral:rRNA from 1 species